rfam:Gossypium raimondii Chr10_contig_1442, whole genome shotgun sequence.
UGUUAAAAAUUCAUUUAUUUCUACUGUUUAAAACUGGUAUGACUAACAUGAUAACCAGAAAGUUACGCGUGGUGUGCAAUUGUACUUCAUUAUGACACAUAUGGACCAUUUUUGAACAAUAGAAAUGAAUGAAGUUUUUAACA